CUAGCCGUAAACGAUGGAUACUAGGCGUUGUGAGUAUCGACCCUCACAGUGUCGUAGCUAACGCGUUAGGUAUCCCGCCUGGGGAGUACGCGCGCAAGCGUGAAACUCAAAGGAAUUGACGGGGGCCCGCACAAGCGGUGGAGUAUGUGGUUUAAUUCGAUGCAACGCGAAGAACCUUACCAGGACUUGACAUGUCGCGAAUCUCAGGGAAACUUGAGAGUGCCUUCGGGAGCGCGAACACAGGUGGUGC
rnacentral:rRNA from 1 species